rnacentral:rRNA from 1 species
UGGGGAAUAUUGCACAAUGGGCGCAAGCCUGAUGCAGCCAUGCCGCGUGUAUGAAGAAGGCCUUCGGGUUGUAAAGUACUUUCAGCGGGGAGGAAGGCGAUAAGGUUAAUAACCUUGUCGAUUGACGUUACCCGCAGAAGAAGCACCGGCUAACUCCGUGCCAGCAGCCGCGGGAAUACGGAGGGUGCAAGCGUUAAUCGGAAUUACGGGGCGUAAAGCGCACGCAGGCGGUCUGUCAAGUCGGAUGUGAAAUCCCCGGGCUCAACCUGGGAACUGCAUUCGAAACUGGCAGGCUAGAGUCUUGUAGAGGGGGGUAGAAUUCCAGGUGUAGCGGUGAAAUGCGUAGAGAUCUGGAGGAAUACCGGUGGCGAAGGCGGCCCCCUGGACAAAGACUGACGCUCAGGUGCGAAAGCGUGGGGAGCAAACA